UAGAAAUGUCUUGCCUAAGUCUGUACUUCCUAACUCUUCCUUCCUGUCCCAGGGCUUCUCUGAUACUGAGAUACAGAACCUGCAGAAACAUACCCAACAGCCGUGUGUGAAUAAACCAGAAGUACAGAGAAACUAAGAUAUAAGUUAAUGAGUGCAUUAGGAACUUCAGUGUUGCUGCCAGAGGUACUUUGGAACUGCUUGUGUCAAAAGGUGCCAGCUUUUCAUCUGGGCUCGAAGUGCAGCCCAGGACAGGACAACACCUUUCUUUUCUUGCCAGUAUCUCACAGGCUUCCCUGGAGAUCUCCUCUGAAUACAUUAUUGUGUCUCGUCGAAAGUUUAGAGAGACAGCUACACCCAAGGUGUGGGGUUUUAACCUCCUCAUGCGAUGAGAAACAUGGAGUCUAAAUUUGCUUAUUGACACACUGGCAAGCUCUAGAUGCCUCGGAACAUCCUCUGGUGAGACUCUGGAAU